rnacentral:rRNA from 1 species
UACGUAGGGUGCGAGCGUUGUCCGGAAUUAUUGGGCGUAAAGAGCUCGUAGGCGGUCUGUCGCGUCGAUCGUGAAAACUUGGGGCUUAACCCUGAGCUUGCGGUCGAUACGGGCAUGACUGGAGUUCGGCAGGGGAGACUGGAAUUCCUGGUGUAGCGGUGAAAUGCGUAGAUAUCGGGAGGAACACCGGUGGCGAAAGCGGCUCACUGGACCGUCUCUGACGCUGAGGUGCGAAAGCUAGGGUAGCAAACGGG